rnacentral:lncRNA from 1 species
AGGUACUCCAUUGUCUGGUAAAGUUCAUAUGACUGCAUUCUUUUUGCAAGGGGGGUGGAGGGAGAGCGGGGAAGGAGGGGGUGUCAGCUCAACUGUAAAAGCUGCACAGAUUUUUUUUCUUUCUCUCUCUCUGCCUCUCCAUAGAUUGUUUCUGUUUCAUGCCCUGUCUCAUUUCGCAUAGCUAAAAAAGAAUGCUAAUUAAGAUCCCUUGUCUUAACCUGAAAAAUAAUGACUCGGCUGUAAUUAGAAAUCUGGUGAGAGUUUAAAAAUUCUGGUAGGGGACCAAAAACAUCAGUUACGGUGCUUAGGAAGAAAAUGAAGAAUUAUUUUUCUGAAAUCAAGAUGGAUCUGAGAACGCUGUCUGGGCUUGGUACCAAGAGCUGGUAUUUCACAGCAGCGACCGCCUCACAGACGAGCUGUGGGAAGCAGGAGGGAGACUCUCUCUUAGGGUGCCACUACUAUGGAGACACAGCUGGGCUGAACAAGAUUUGCUUCAAACGACAACAAGAGAGACAGAAAGUAUCUGGUUCAACCGCUGCCCGAGCAGGCAGGCACCAGAAGAGCUAGCAGCCAAUCCGGCCAUGCUCGAAGCCAGCUCUGCAGCUCAGCCAAUCAGUGACAUCAUUGCUUUCUUUAGCUUGCCCAUGGUGAUGUGAAGAUGAGAAGAAAUAGCAAGGCCCAACCAGUUCUUCAUCUGGAGACAGUUCAACGUUCUGCAAACCAGAUCUUCAGGAAUUUUACUGGGAUAAUUAUCCAAAUAAAUUGCAAGCAUUCUAUCCAAAUGGUAAGCAGAACAUCUUAUUAUGUAAUCAUAUUUGUUUAUCCAUAAUUAAUAUAACUUUCUGAGUAUUGAAAUGAGAAACUUGAUUUACUCUUCUUCACUCAUGUUUUAAUUUUUUUAUAAGAAAAACUAGAAUCACUAAAGAAUUUCUUUUUAUUUUAUUUAAAAAUUAUAAUCCUGAGAUGCAAAUAUAUGCCAUGUAAGCCUGGGAACUAUUUAAUCACUUUACUCUAAAAUCUGGUAAAAGGUAAAAUUUCUGAAAAUAGGUGACUGGCAAACAUUUUGUAAACAAUAUAUAAGAAGAAUUGUAUAUCAAAAUAUACACAUAAAACUAUCUUUUCAGAUAAUUAUGUAUCAUUUAUUUUCUUAUAGCGAAAUUAUAAAAAUACAA